GACGAACGCUGGCGGCGUGCUUAACACAUGCAAGUCGAACGGAAAGGCCCUGCUUUUGUGGGGUGCUCGAGUGGCGAACGGGUGAGUAACACGUGAGUAACCUGCCCUUGACUUUGGGAUAACUUCAGGAAACUGGGGCUAAUACCGGAUAGGAGCUCCUGCUGCAUGGUGGGGGUUGGAAAGUUUCGGCGGUUGGAGAUGGACUCGCGGCUUAUCAGCUUGUUGGUGGGGUAGUGGCUUACCAAGGCUUUGACGGGUAGCCGGCCUGAGAGGGUGACCGGCCACAUUGGGACUGAGAUACGGCCCAGACUACUACGGGAGGCAGCAGUGGGGAAUAUUGCACAAUGGGCGGAAGCCUGAUGCAGCAACGCCGCGUGCGGGAUGACGGCCUUCGGGUUGUAAACCGCUUUCGCCUGUGACGAAGCGUGAGUGACGGUAAUGGGUAAAGAAGCACCGGCUAACUACGUG
rnacentral:rRNA from 1 species